UUUGUUGGAGGCCUAAGUCCAUGGGAGGAGAAACUGAUAGAGCGUGCGAAAGCACUUAAUGUAACUGCUGGGACAGAACCUGAUGCAGAUAUUGGUCCAGUUAUUAGCAAGCAGGCAAAAGAACAAAUAUGCAUGUUAAUUCAAACAAGCAUUGACAGUGGUGCAAAACUAGUUCUUGAUGGAAGAAACAUUGUGGUAUCUGGUUUUAUGUUUUGCUUACCGAUCUUAUUUAUUAUUGCUGAGUUCUUCCUUGCAUUUUAUGACAUGGUAUGAUAUUAGUUGCAUAUGGAAGAAAAUUUGAGACACAGGGCCUGGGGCAUCAGAGCUUCUAACUCUGUUUGGUUAUGUGGUUUGAAUUUUGAUAGUUGUGACAGAAGUUAUGUUGGGCACUUGCCUUGUAUGAUUUAUGUUGUUGUCUUUCACUGGCUUCACCCGUAAUUUAGUAGUAGAUUAAAAUUUAUAUGGAUUGUGGUCAAGCAACAAUUUUUUAUUCUAAAAUAUUAUGGGUACGGCAAAAAAAGAAAGAUAAAAAUAGAAGGAUGGCUUUUAUUUUAAAUGAAAGGCUAAAUUACAAUUCAAUGUAAAAGUUUUGGGGAUUAGGAGAAUAAAACAUGUGUUGUUGGUUGUUCCUGAUGAUGGCUGAUGAAAAGAUUCAUGUGUAGAUAUAGCAUGAUUAAUUCAGUACAGGGAGACCAGAAAGGAGAGCUAAUAAGUAGGAUAAUGAUGACCAACAAUUUAAUUCUGGGUUUACUUUCGAAGCUAGAAGAUUUUGGAUGGCUUCUAACUCCUUGUAUUCCAUGAAAGAUAUGUAGGCACAGAAAUUGUGAUUCCAAAUAAACAUGAAGAUGCUGAAGCCAUGGUAUCUCAGUAGUUUUUUUGGACAUGUAGAAUGAUUUGCCCUCUCUAUCUGGAGCAUUAUGCUGUUAUAUCACAGGAUUAUGAAAAUGAAUGUAACUUGUCUUUCAGAUGGAACAAUCACAUUAAAGUCUUUAAUGCCCACUAUCAGGGGAAAAAGAAAAAGAAAAACCUGCAGUAGUUUCAUUCCUCAUUUUCCGCCUAUGUAUUCAAUUUGCUGCAGAUGAGUGGUUGUUAUGAUGCAGGUUUAAAUGGUAACUGGCUUUCUCAUAACCAUGUUUCUGCUUUGGCCUAUUUUGUGAUAUUUUAUUCUUUGUGGAUCACUGCCAGGUUCCUGGCUAUGAAAAUGGGAACUUCAUGGGUCCUACUAUCUUAUCUGAUGUCACAGUCAACAUGGAAUGUUAUAAGGAGGAAAUCUUUGGCCCUGUUCUUCUUUGUAUGCAGGCUGAUACCAUUGAAGAGGCCAUAAAUAUUGUUAAUGGAAAUAAGUAUUCUUGACUUUUAGCUUCCCUUAAUCCUCCUUAGAUAUGGUUGAAAGUUUUGAAGUAAUCUUUCAUGUUUUCAUUUGGUUCUUCUCUCACAGAUACAGCAAUGGAGCUUCUAUAUUUACUACAUCUGGUGUAACUGCAAGGAAAUUUCAAACAGAGAUUGAGGUUGGGCAGGUAAAGUGACUGUACACCAUGUAACGGGGCUGCUUUUGAUGGUCAAAUAUUAGGAUAUAUAAUUAAAUGCAGUCUACAUAACUAGUGUUUGAGUUUGUUUAAUUUGACAGUUUCUACAUUUUGCUUCCCUUUUUCCUGCUAUUCAAAUUUUGAUACUACUUUUGACUCUACUAUUUCCAUUGAUGUUGCAACAUGAACUGAAAUGGGUUUCUUCAGGUUGGCAUUAAUGUUCCUAUCUCAGUACCACUGCCAUUCUCUUCAUUUAUUAGCUCCAAGCCAUCCUUUGCUGGAGAUGUCAACUUUGAUGGAAAAGCUGGAAUUCAGUUUUACACCCAAGUUAAAACCGUAACUCAACAAUGGAAAGAUAUACUAAGUGAAGAUGUGUCAGCUGUAGCAUUGCCAAGCUCUUAGAGAUCAUGCUAUAGAGAGAUAUCUGUCUUCAGAUAGAGUGGUUAGCCUGAGCACAAUAUAAUAGGCAAAAAUUGGUUGAUGAUUCUCCUUUUCUGUUGCUUCGGACUACAGGAAAUCAUGCUCAUUGUUCAUAUUAGUUUCCUCUUUUAGCUUAGAUGCUCACUCUUCUUUUUCGUGGGUGCGCAAACGCACGUGUGCAUGUGCAUGCAUAUGCUGUGUUGCUUCCUUUCAUUUAUGGGUUGGAUGGGGAGAUGGAUCAGCUUCAAUGGGGUGGAUAUAAAAUAAAUGAAAUGCAAACCUGAUCACAUGUGGUGGUCUUGGUGAUUCUGUUUCUUGUGAGAUGUGUGUGGGUUUAUUAGUUAUUAGUAUUACUAUUAGGAUUGAAGGUGUUACUGGUAGGAUGAGAACAAGGAGGUAAUAGAGGAGUAAGUACAGUUGAGUGUCUUGGAUUUAUAGAAACAUGUUGACUGCUGACUAAACCAGAAGAUUUGAUGAUUUUUCAAACCAAACCAAAUGACAGAAUGUACAAAUUCAAUCCAACCAAAUGGGAUAAUUGCUUCCUGGUCAAAUAAUUUAUUGAAACAAAUCAUCAAAUAUCAGAUUAAAG
rnacentral:misc_RNA from 1 species